rnacentral:rRNA from 1 species
UACGUAGGGUGCAAGCGUUAAUCGGAAUUACUGGGCGUAAAGCGUGCGCAGGCGGUUUUGUAAGUCUGUCGUGAAAGCCCCCGGGCUUAACCUGGGAAUUGCGAUGGAGACUGCAAGGCUUGAAUCUGGCAGAGGGGGGGUAGAAUUCCACGUGUAGCAGUGAAAUGCGUAGAGAUGCGGAGGAACACCGAUGGCGAAGGCAGCCCCCCUGGGCUAACACUGACGCUCAGGCACGAAAGCGUGGGGAGCAAACAGG